UUAUUUAGUUAGUUCGUGAAUUGGACAAAAUUAAAAAUUUUAAGUCCGCAAACCAAUCCGUAAAAUGGUGGAUUGAAUAUGGAUUGGGUCAAAUCCGCAUCCGAUCCGCAGAUGUAUUGAUUGUAUUUAGAUUGAAUUUCAUCAAUCCAUGGAUUGGAUUUUGAUUGAAUUUCAUCAAUCCGUGGAUUGGAUUGGAUUGAAAAUUUAUAAUCCGCAAAAUCAUGGAUUGGAUAUAGAUUGAGGUCCAAUCCGUAAAAUUCGAUCCGUGAACACCCCUAAUUUAUACAAAAAAAUUAAUGUAAAAUAAUUUUAUAAUAAAUAAAUAUAGUUGUUUAUAGUUACACAAUAAAUUUUUCUUUUUUAAUUUUAAAACAGUGACCCAAUCAAUUCUCCAAUUCGGUUUGGUUUUGUAUUAAACCGAAUAAGAACCAAUCAAUUCUUUAUUUUGUGUGCCAUUCAGUGUCUUGCCUUUGUAUCGAACCAAAUGCCCAUUACUAUCCAUCUGUAUUCAAUUUAAAUAUGUUAACAACAAUGCACAACAACUAUUAAAUCAUGACCCACAUUGACUAGUCAAAAGAAAAAACUUUGACUUAUAAUUAUGAUGUGUCACUUUAUCCAAUAUGCAAGUCUUUUAUGUUCAUCCCUCAACAAUAAUCAAGUAGAUAUUGUUUAAUUUGAACACGAUAUCUGUUACGCUUUUGUUCUUACAUUUUACAACUUAAAAAGCAUCUACUCAGGCACUGGCAUUAAUGAUAUUAAUGUUAAGGAAUGCUUAGUCAAAAUUGACAUAUUUUCGAAGUGGAGAAAUUUGUCUAAUUGAUUAAUUAUUUAUUAAUUUACUUUACUAUUAGAUAAUAAAAAGUGGAGGAUUAGAUUUUUUUAAAAAAAAAACUUCAUGCCCAAUGACUAACUUCCCUGCAAAAUACCUAAUUCUCUACUCACUCUACUUGGCAGAGAAAUACUUGAAGUGGUAGUGUUUCUUUCGUCGGAGUAGUCGAGAAUUAGGAUUCCUAUAAGCUUAACGAUGAUGUAAUUAGUCUUUCAAUUAAAAUUAAAAAAAUAAAAAUAAAGAUCAACAGCUAACGACACGUCAUGAAAAAUUAAUUUGUCGUGCUUGUCUUUGUCAAAUCGUAUACAUUAACUUAAUAAUUUAAUGGUUCUACCUUCUAGAUGCAACAAUGUAUUGAAAGAAAUAAUCAACGAAACUUGGAGAGAGUUUUGUAUUUUGUGCUUGGCCUGAAACCUUAUUGAAAGAAGCUUAAUGUGAAUAUGAAGCUUAAGGUUGAUGAAGUUAGAUUUGAUAAAUAUUUGACAAAUUACAUUAGAGAAUGCUGUCUUUGGACACUUUUGUCCAACCAAUAUUGAACUUUCAACUCUUAUUUCAUCAGUUGCUAUUAAAAAUACCAGCGUAGGGAAAAUGACCAAAACUCCACUAUUAUUCAUUGGAUUAA
rnacentral:lncRNA from 1 species